rnacentral:lncRNA from 1 species
GCCAUACUUACCAACCAACCGCCAUUACUCUCCUCAACACAAAGUCAAGCCAACACAUGUGCUGAAAACCAAAAUUUCAGACAAAUUUCCUUUGUCUAGGUACUUAUAGUUAGCUCAAUUCUAAAGUACAAAUUAUAGAAAAUAUAGAGGGACUAAUAUAAUAACUUAAAAGUUUUUUUAUCACUAAUUGACCAUAGUGGUUCUACAAUGCAGGCAAAGAGGAAGUAUGAACAAGGGUUGAACCAAGUAGGUCAUUCUAUGGUCUCGGACUGCUUCCAGCACUGCUGUUAGAAACAGAACCGAAGGUAGUCUU